CGCGGGAUGGAGCAGUCUGGUAGCUCGUCGGGCUCAUAACCCGAAGGUCGGAGGUUCAAAUCCUCCUCCCGCAACCA
rnacentral:tRNA from 1 species